GCCGGGGUAGCUCAGCCGUGGCCAGAAAACUUUAAAAGGUUAAAGCGUUGGACUCAUAAUCCAAAGGUCGCGGGUUCAAAUCCCGCCCCCGGCACCA
rnacentral:tRNA from 1 species